rnacentral:rRNA from 1 species
AGAUUGAACGCUGGCGGCAUGCCUAACACAUGCAAGUCGAACGGGAGUAGCAAUACUCUAGUGGCGGACGGGUGAGGAAUACGUAGGAAUUUGCCCUUAAGUGGGGGAUAACCCGGGGAAACCCGGAUUAAUACCGCAUGACCUCGAAAGAGCAAAGUGGGGGAUCGCAAGACCUCACGCUUUUGGAGAAGCCUACGUCGGAUUAGCUAGUUGGUGAGGUAAUGGCUCACCAAGGCGACGAUCCGUAACUGGUCUGAGAGGAUGAUCAGUCACGACCGG